UGAGGAAUUUUGGACAAUGGGGGCAACCCUGAUCCAGCAAUGCCGCGUGUGUGAAGAAGGCCUUCGGGUUGUAAAGCACUUUUGUCCGGAAAGAAAACACGUGCCCUAAUACGGUGUGUGGAUGACGGUACCGGAAGAAUAAGCACCGGCUAACUACGUG
rnacentral:rRNA from 1 species